CGCGGCCACCUGCUCUCCCCAUCUUCUUUAUAGCCCCGCAAACCCUAGCGCCACCAAACCAUCCCUCUCCCCUUCCUGCCGCCGCCACCAUCCCCUUCCUCCUUUUCUUAUCUGUGAGAACACCACCGUGAGCAGUUCGCCGGCGCCCCGUCGAUUCCGUCCUCCCCUCUCCAAGCCGAGGGCACCCAGAGCUCCGCCUCCCUCUCCUCGUCUCCCCCCUGCAAGGAAUCGAACCGGAGCUCUCUAAAUCGCCGGCGAAUUCGCCGAUUCCGUCUCCAAGUCCGGCGAGCAAAUCUUCAAUUCCAGCGACGCCGGUGAACCUUUGGUGUCGGCUCCGCCACUUCCUGUUUCGCCAAGUCAAGACGCACCCUCGACGCCAUCUGUCUCGUCCCGGUUCGCCCCCCUCCGACGAAGCCAUGUUCGACCAGGGACUCCGCCAUGGCCUUGUCUGCCCGAGCUUCGCCUCUGCUUGUUUCUUAUUGUUUCGCGCCUCCCUCCUAUCAACAGAGCAUGCAACAGCUUAGUGAUCCCGCGGAGAGAGACACUUCUUUUAAAGAGGAGCCUUCCCAGUAUCACAAUCAUCAACCGUAGCCCAGAUGAUCUGGCGUCCCAUGGGCCGGUCCAAUCUCCCUCUCGCCCCAGCCCAUCGCGCACGCGCGCCCAGCCACGGUCCGUCGCCGCCUCGACCAGCAUUUGCUUCUUCCCGGAUAGGAUCACGAAGUGGUGAUGUGAGAUACGACGAGUUCUCCGACAAGUUCUUCUGCAGCUUUUCACAGGCGAGCCCACCCCUUCACCUAUUUUACUUUUACAUGCUCUUUUGAUCUAUUGCUAUCCUUAUGUUGCGAUUCUGUUGUGUCACGUGUCCUAUCCACCUGUUACCUAUAUGUCCGAGAUGCACCUCCUCGCCCUACCUAUUGUUUGUUGUUUGCCAGCUUUGCGAGUCGUAGGCGAGUUUAGGGUCUUGUUGAUAUCUCGAGAUGUUCGGGAUAUCUUGUUGGGAGGUUAUCACAUGCUAUAUCUUUUGUUGGAGAUAAUCACACUUUACUUUAUUGUUAACAACUAAAAUUGUAAGCAGAGGCAUCUGUGAGCCCCUUUGCGAAAGCAUCGGAACUUUGACUCGCUAAUGUCCCCUAGGACCCGAGUUCUUGUUAUCUGUUCCGAGAUUGAGCGCUCUACCCGUACGUGGGGGAAUGGGACCCCCAUCACCCACUACCUUUCCUCGAGUCUGUUUAUUGGGAGCCACAACCUUGGUUUUAUUUGCCCAUAUGCACGAUGCACGAUUUACUUCCUGUUGCCUUCGGGUGUUUAUUUCUGUAUUGUACUCAUAACGCGGAUAGACUUAUCUUGUGCCUGGUCGUAAGUGCCCGCCUGGACUAUGUCGCAAACCUCUGGGUCCGUAUCGGAGUACGGCCGGACUUCGUCACGGGUAGCUUAGUUGGGUGGCUCCCAUUAAACUUUCUCUUGCAUUGGGAACGGUCUUGUUGUGAGACUCCACCUGUAGUAUGUGGGUUCGAGCAUGCGUAUGGUUACAUUUGGGCAACCCCUGCAGGGUGUACAUCUUAUCGAUAAGCCGUGUCCGCGGUUAUGGACGACUUGGAAUUGUAUAGCUUGAUCAUAGAACAACUUACACCUUAUUUCCCGUUGCUAAUAAUUUGCUAAUAAAACUUUUUUUCAAAAAGUGUGUGUGCCUUUGCCAGUACCUCUUUGCGAAGGGGGAUCGCAUCGGCUGUGUUAUGUUUGCGGAGUAUAGAACUGUUACCUUGUGCGCUCUCUUAUCUUCUCUGAGUAGACGGAUGUUGUAGCGUGUCUCUAUUGGAUAGUAGCUUUGCUGCCGCUAAACUCCACAUAUAGCCGGGUGAAGUUUAUACCGCCCACCAGCGAGUAUAGCUGGUCUUGUCUCGCAAGUACGUGCCAAUGGUACUUACCCUCGCCUUCCUUUCUUUUUGUCUCCUCCCCCUUUUGUCGGCAACCGAUGGCCCGACUUUGACAGGUACGAGAAGACGACGUUAGCGAGGUUACCCUUCCGGCUUGGCCUGGGCAGGGUUAUGGACGCCACUGGUUAUCUUCAGGACUCUUAGUCCAAUUUGUAUCUUGUCCAUACUCGGACGUAUUUGAUCUUCUGUAUGAUUUGGAUCUUUGUAUUGUAUAUUUGUAUCUUGACUCGUUGGAGUCGUUGUUGUAAUAUAUGUAUCUUGUGGGCUUUAUUGUAAACCUGUUGUAAUGUUA